rnacentral:misc_RNA from 1 species
AUCCUCCGAUCGCUACACACGGACAUUGGCACAGCUGGGAGCCAUUUUUGUCUUCCACAGCGCGAACAUUUUCAUUCGUAUCUCUCGUUUUGCUCUUCUUUUGCUGAAGAUCGCCUUCUUUCCUCCUCUUUCUUUUCUAUCUCUGUUCCUCAUUGUCCCCCGAGCAACGACAUCGUUUACGACUCUUUGCUUUUGUCACUUGCUGAGUUCUGAGAAAAAAAAACGCGGCAAAAAGAGAUCAGCGCGCGCUCGCGAUGCCACUGAUGAACGUGUGCAUCUACGGCCUCUCAAGCCAGAUGCUGGAGGCUUUCUUUGCGCGAGAGCGCGCUCGAAGCGCACAGCCGCUCGUGGCCUCCGCCUCCUCGGAACUGCGAUUUGGUCUGGUGGGCGCAGGGGAAAGUAUGGGGGCAUGGGGCCUGAAGUGGCCUGUGGCGCUCGAAUGUUGUCAGUGCCAGCGUAUCCCGUGCCUACGCGUUCCUUACCUCUCGCCCCUACCCCACCCCUGCGAGGAUGGUCAAGAGUCUUGCGUGGAGCAUUACGUGGCUCAAGUGCGUCUCACAAGUCAGGAGAUGGACGGAUUACGUAAUCAACAGUCCGCUGCAGAGCCUCUCUCCAUGCCGUGCCGGCUGGUUAUUCUGGAGGAUGCGUUCUUUCGCGCGCCGCGAACCCCAGAGUCGAGCAUCUGUGCCACCCCUGGCACUGUGAUUGCCGGGGUCGAUCAGCGGUACAGUCAGCCUUCCUCUCUCUGCAUCACGCCAUUCGAACACGAAGAAGGCGCGCUCACGGAGGGCAGUGGAGAGGUGCUCCAGUGGCUGGCAGUGCUGGAUGUGCGCCGGCACCACGAUGCCAGCGUCACAGUCGACAGUAAUCCUCUGGGCCGCAGUGGGAGAGAUGAUGCCGCGACCGCAUCCGUCUGCUUCGGUUCCACUGGUGAACAGUUCGCCUUGCUGUACAACUUGCCUGCACUGCCGCCACGCCCCACUCCCCCGGUGCCCGUGACGGUAUCAUCGGGCAUGGCUUUUCCGGCAUCCGAGGCUGACGCAGAUGCCAGCGUCGGCUCAGCGAGCGACAGCAUCCCGCCCUUCUGCGAAUGCGACCCUGACGGCGGUGUGUGCGCAACCGUCGGCAAUCCAGGCCCGUUGCUGUCUCUCACCUUCUACGCCAACGACCCUACCCAACCGUUCGACCAGGCCGCGUGGCAGUCAGAGCUGACGUCGCAUCAGAGCGAGGUGAUGCGUCGGCGCAUGCGCGAGACCCCCGACGGGGUGCUAUCGACCACCGUCUGCCAAGUCACAGACGUGCGGCCGAUUCCGGUAGAAGGCAGCUGCUGGUGCCGUUCCAACCUGCCCAUACCCGCGCUGUUGGAGCAGCAGCUGAAUGAGAUGCGCAUGAAGCGUAGCUCUGCGGCCGCAGCAAGCAACCGUGGUCGGGACAGCUACAGAGCAUCGAGCCCCGCAAUGUCUUCAACAUCGUCGGUAUGCACGAUGAACUCCUCACACAGUGGACGUCACCAUACUCACGUCGAGAGCUCGCGGCGCUCGGCACGCGGCGGGGCAACGCAGCCGUCCGCUGGUUUCCUGGCCAAGGGCUGGUGUGUGCGACCGCUGCAGACGAUCAAGCCUGUUCUGCCGCAGACGGGCUACGUGGACAGCACAGGAAGAGCGCCGCUUGUGGCGGCUCGUACGCAGCACGUGUGGACGUGCCUCCUCAACCUUCGCGAGUUGGACGAGUUUGCGAUCGAGGUGACUGUCAAGGUUCCGUACAUAGCGGGCGACACGGAGCUUUCUCUCCAAGGCAAUACCGUGCUCUUCUCUGGCAUGCUGCGUUCCAGCACGAGCGGCACCGUGCUCUUGCCAGUCUACUGCCCCGCACCCGAGGGUGCGCCGGCGGGCGUCACGUCACUGUGGAUGAAGCUGUACGUGCAGUACCUGCUAGUGUUUCCAUUGGAGGGAUGUGGGCAGCACGGCCCGCUGGAGAUUGUGCGGUCCUCGGAGACGUUUGCGUGGCUCACUGUCCCCACCUUGAUUGGGCACCGCGGGCUGGGAAAGACGUACGCGCGCUCACCCUCCGCCUCUGGAGGCGCACCGUUCGUCAUAAAGUGCAGCGAGAACACCAUACCAUCAUUCCAAGCCGCGCACGCACGCAAAUGCAAGAUGAUUGAGUUUGACGUCAUGCUCUCCAAGGAUCGCGUGCCUGUCGUGAUCCACGACCCCUUGAUUGAGCUGAUGGCGCUGAAGCGAGAGGGCGUACGUGCGUGUCCGGGGAAGGCAGAGUACACACCAGUGCGCGCCGCGGUGCACAAGUUGAACUAUACGCGGCUGCGUGACCUGCACGUGCAGUGUUGCAAGUCCGUUGACCGCGUAUUUCCCACCAAAGACCUACUGAUACACCACUGGGAUAGUCUGCUGUCGUGGGCGCGCAAUUGUCAGCCCAAGGCGCUGAGGGGCUCUUCGUCGUCGUCACAGAACGGCGUGUGCUGUGGUAGCUCAGCGCGGACCGUCGAGAGCUCUCUGAUGGGGGUGGAGGACUUCCCUAACGGGGUUCCCUCGCUCCGGGAAGUGCUGGAGCAGACACCACCGUCUCUGCACUUCAACAUUGAGGUGAAAUACCCUUUCCAGCCGCUCAUCGACUCGAAUCUCUUUCUGCAGAGUGACGCGUUUGAGGUGAACGGGUUUGUGGACGCUAUCCUGCGAGUCGUCUUUGAGUUUGCGGACAACGGCCGAAAGAUCACCUUUAGCAGCUUCGACCCCAACGUGUGCCUUGCGCUGGCCCUGAAGCAGAGCCGCUACGACGUCCUCUUCCUCAGCGACACGAAGGAGAUGCGCGACUUGAAGGACUACCGCUCCUUUUACGUGGAGGGCGCCAUCCAGUUCGCCUCUGCGCAGCACCUCGCGGGUGUUUCGGUGAACGCCGGGACGCUGCUGUCGCCAGAGGAUGAGGCGGUGCUGCCGAAUAUCCCUGAGGCGCCGCUGCACGGUUCGGCCGAACGCGGCCCCGUAACAGCAGAGCUCUUCCACGCCGAUGACCCGCAGCAUGCUCCACCAACCGUGCCGUCGUCCUUUGGCGCUUAUGGACGCGCCAUGGUCGCCGAGAUGCACCACCGACGGCUGAAAGUGUGGACGUGGGGCGACAUGAACAGCUACCUUUACUUUGCCUACGCGCAGGCGGCCAAGAUGCAGGUUGACGGCGUGAUUGGGGAUCGCAUGCCAGUGUUCUCCUCCACGAGCUGAGGCUGAUGCGCGCUCAGUUUCAUGCGACGAGUACCGGGCCUCAGGUGUGCACUGCCUCUUCCCUCUUUCCCUGUUCAACGCAACACAGACAAAGUAAAAGCCUCGAACCGAAGCUGUUGGGCGGGCGCGGAGGGGCAACUCAUAAGUGAUACCUGACAGUGCUCUCCUUCGACUACCUUCACCCCACUCGCCUUCGCGAGAGACGGCCAUGUGCAUUUCUCACCACGAAGAGUUCUCAGAGGGGAGCACUGAAGAGGAAUGUGUGUAUGCGUGCGAGGGGAGGGCGGAAGCCACUGCUUUUUUUUCUUUAUCUGCUACAGCGCAUUUUGUCCUAUAUUUUUUCUUCGCUUGCGCAUGCUGUGCCCCGUUGCGAUUUGUACAGAAGCGCGUUAUCUUGCCAGCGUUUGGUGUCUCUGUUUGCGGGCGCGAGUGUGUUCUUACGAGGACGCCUCAGCUGUAGCUCACACCCUUAUUGACAUGAGCACUCAGACAUGGAAGGGAAGCGAGCAGACGUUUUUUUUUUCUGGCAUUAAAGCACCUUUUUACGGUCGCCUACUCGUUGCACAGGUGAACCGAAACAAAUGCACACUGUAAAGCAAAAUGUAGUCGGAAGAGCAGGAAAACGCAAGUGUAAAAGACGAAUGAUCAGCGUAGUGGGGGCGAAUGCACAUCUUAUGGGUGAAGCUCACGGCAUGUGUGGGAGUUUGCGCGAGCAAGGUGCGCUGCACAAUGACCAUUGCCGUGCAUCCUCAUAGCUCGCUUUCUGUGCAGAGUGAAGCUACCAUUCUCGCAUAAGAAUGUGCAAUUUGGUCUUCUGUCUAUAAUUUUUUUUUGUAAGCAUUUGGCAAGAAUGAGGGAGGGAUGAUCAAAAAAAAAAAACGAUAUGAUGGAGGAGUUAGUCAACGUAUUCUCCGCCAUUCCAAUGACAUGCUUCACCCAACCUUUUUUUUUUACCUCAUUCGGUACUUUCACUCAUUUUGGAUCUCGAGGAACCGAGUCAUUGUAAGCGUUGCACUUUUCCUCCACCCAACCAUUUGAUAGCCCACCACGCCAGGGAUCCUUGGGUAACGGAAAAGAGGGAAAUGUGCAGGUCUACCUAUUCGUGCGUAGUGUUACCGGAUGAGGACUUG